GAUUCCACAUUGCAUCUAAUCUUUGAGAAAUCACUACUUGUUGAGUUUGGGUAUAGUAUUAAAGAAUAUUCCCAGCUAUCUAAAAAUAUUAUUAAAACACUCCUCUUUUAAACUACAUAUCUGUAGUUAGAAGUGAUCAUACCUGUGUACGGCUAGAUUUUCUUCCUAUCAUUCAGCCAAAACAACACAUUACAACAGAUUGCAUACAGAAUAAGAUUUGAAACUCCAACUGUUGUUUACUAAACCAGACAAAUUUCUUCUCCCUGACAGGUUCUAGGUAGCAUUAUGCUCCUACUUUUCAGCUCAUACUAAAAUUUGAUUUGAUCUCUAAAUAAUAGAUGUGUCAAUAUUACUAUUAUAGGAUAUAAACCACCGUGUUUACUAGGCAAUGUCCUUUAAUCUUUAUCUGCCUUUUUUUUUUUUUUAAAAAAAAAAAAAACAGCAUCCAGUUGAUUUUUCCAAACAGUAUUUUAGGUAUAGUGCCCAGAUAGCAGUAAUAAUUACUGCCAGGACAAUUAUAUACAUUCUUCUGCUAAAGUUUAAAACUAAGUUUGAAGUUUAGGAAACUGAAGUACUUUCAAACAAACAUAAAUAGAGAAGGUCAAUGUUGGAAAGAUUCUUUAGGGUCAUCUAGACUAAGUUAGUCUAUGGGUCUCUAGCAAGUAGUCACGUUAAUUAUUCUUGUUUACCUCCAGCAAUGGAGAAUUACCUCCCCAUUCCAUUUUGGGAUAUAAAUGGAAUCAUACAAUCUAUGCUCCUUUAUGUAUGGCUUUUUUUCUCUCAGUGUGAUGUCAGUAAGAUUUAUUCAUGCUGUGGGUAUCAGUAGUUGUUUUUUUUUUUUUUUUUUUAAUUACUGAGCACUAUUCCAUUGUAUAAAUGUACCACAGUGUGUUUAGCCACUUUCAUCUUAGACAAUUGAGUUAUUUCUACUUUUGGCUAUACUUUUCUAUAAGUAUUUUUGUGUUGACAUAUAUUCUCAUUUUUCUUAGAUAAAUACCGAACAGUGGGGUUGCUGGAUCAAGGGUAGGCAUUUAAUUUUAUAAGAAACGGUCGAACAAUUUUCUUAAGUGAUUGUAUAAUUUUACCUUUCUACCAGCAGUUUACAGUGUUCCUCUCCCUCCACACCAAUACUUGUUAUGGUCAGUUAUUAAUUUUAGCCAUUACAAGGGUGUGUGUAAUUGUGAUUUUAAUUUGUAUUUCCCUGAUGAUACACUUUUUCAUGUGUAUAUUGGUCAUGUGUAUACCUUCCUUUGUACAGUGUUUAUUCAAAUCGUUUGGUUAUGUGGUAAACAGAGGUUGUUAGUCUUUUAAUUAUUAAGUUGUUGUAGAGAGCUCUUUGUAUAUUUUGGAAGCAAAUCCUUUGUCAAGUACAUAUUUUUUGAGAAUAUUUUCUCCCAAUUGUGGUUGCUUAUUCAUUUUCUUAAUGAUGUCUUUUGAUAAGCAAAUGUUUUUAAAUUUGAUAAAGUCUAAUUUAUAAAGUUCUCUGUCUUUUACAAUUGUUGUUUUUGUGUCCUUUCCAAGAAAUAUUUUUAUAGCACUCAGGUCACAAAGGUACUCUCCUAUGUUUUCUUUUAAAAGCUUUGUAAUUUUAACUUUCUCAUUUAAAUCUAUGAUUCAUUGCAAAAUAAUUUUAUGUAUGAUAUGAGGUAGGUGUUGAAGUUCAUCUUUUUUUUCCAGUUUUUUUUCUAGCAUUAUUUGUUACAAAGAUUUUCUUUUCUUCCAUUGGGUUGUUUUGGUACCUUUGUUGAAAACGCAAUUAUUUUUUUAUAAAACUGUGUCUACUUUUGGAUUCUUCUGUUCCAAUAGUCUAUUUUUACACCCAAAUGCCAACACCUCUUAAGUUGGCCCUAAAUAUCAAAAAUUAAAUUCAUGUUUAAAAAAUGAUUUGUUGACGUUAAAGAUUUUAACAGACUAGUCUAUUUAAGAUUGUAACAAGGCUUCUUUCUGGAGAGAGGACAUGAAGGACUAAGGGAUUGGAAUGGGAAGGGACUUAAAUUUCACUGUAUAUCCUUUCAUCUAUUUUGAAAUUUUUAGUAUAUCCAUUUUUUAUUCAUUUUACAUAUUCAUGUAUUAUCUAUCCAAGUUUCCAUUUAAUGUUACCUAUGCAUUAACGAUAAAGAUAAUUAAAAAAUAGGUGCCAACAAAUUAGAAAAGUUUACCCUUAUCUUGAAAGGUUUAAUGUUUAUCUUCUGACCUAGGUGUUAAUCUUCCAAAUGGGCUUACAUUUUCAUAGUGAAGUGAUUCAUAAAAGCAAAAAAAAAAAAA
rnacentral:lncRNA from 1 species